rnacentral:rRNA from 1 species
UACGGGGGGGGCAAGCGUUGUUCGGAAUUACUGGGCGUAAAGGGCUCGUAGGCGGCCAACUAAGUCAUACGUGAAAUCCCUCGGCUUAACCGGGGAACUGCGUCUGAUACUGGAUGGCUUGAGUUCGGGAGAGGGAUGCGGAAUUCCAGGUGUAGCGGUGAAAUGCGUAGAUAUCUGGAGGAAUACCGGUGGCGAAGGCGGGUCUCUGGGCCGAUACUGACGCUGAGGAGCGAAAGCCAGGGGAGCAAACGGG